rnacentral:tRNA from 1 species
GCCUGGGUGGCUCAGUCGGUUGAGCGUCUGACUUUGGCUCAGGUCAUGAUCUCACAGUUCGUGAGUUCGAGCCCCACGUCGGGCU